GAUGAACGCUGGCGGCGUGCCUAAUACAUGCAAGUCGAGCGAACAGACGAGGAGCUUGCUCCUCUGACGUUAGCGGCGGACGGGUGAGUAACACGUGGAUAACCUACCUAUAAGACUGGGAUAACUUCGGGAAACCGGAGCUAAUACCGGAUCAUAUAUUGAACCGCAUGGUUCAAUAGUGAAAGACGGUUUUGCUGUCACUUAUAGAUGGAUCCGCGCCGCAUUAGCUAGUUGGUAAGGUAACGGCUUACCAAGGCAACGAUGCGUAGCCGACCUGAGAGGGGGAUCGGCCACACUGGAACUGAGACACGGUCCAGACUCCUACGGGAGGCAGCAGUAGGGAAGCUUCCGCAAUGGGCGAAAGCCUGACGGAGCAACGCCGCGUGAGUGAUGAAGGUCUGCGGAUCGUAAAACUCUGUUAUUAGGGAAGAACAAAUGUGUAAGUAACUAUGCACGUCUUGACGGUACCUAAUCAGAAAGCCACGGCUAACUACGUG
rnacentral:rRNA from 1 species